AACUUCUUCGUUUUUGAUCCGAAUCGAGUGAUUCUUGCGGCCACGGAACAAGGAAAGGAUCCUCUACUGGAUUAUGGAUUCAAUUUGAGUGAAAUUGUGAGCUUACAUGGUGGAUUUUAAUGGUGAUUCUUGAAGCUAGAACCAUUCGGAUUUGAUUAUCAAUCAAGGCCUAGAGAGGCGACUACCAACGGGAACCGGAACGUAUAGAACACGACAUCGCUAUGAUGUUAUUAAAGCGUGUGGAUAGCAAGUUGUGAGUAUACUUUACUCU